GUGCUUCCUUCAGCAGCACAUUUUCUAAAAUUCAAACAAUACAGAGAUUAGCAUGGCCCCUGUGCAAGCAUGACAUGCAAAUUUGUGAAGCAUUCCAUAUUGUA